rnacentral:rRNA from 1 species
UACGGGGGGUGCAAGCGUUGUCCGGAUUUACUGGGCGUAAAGGGCGCGUAGGCGGUUGUAUCAGUCGGGCUUAUAAGUGCGGGGCUCAACCCCGUGAUGGGUUCGGGACGGUAUGACUGGGGCGCGGUCGAGGGAGACGGAAUGCCGGGUGUAGUGGUGAAAUGCGUAGAGAUCCGGCGGAACACCGGUGGUGAAGGCGGUCUCCUAGGCCGAGGGCCGACGCUGAGGCGCGAGAGCGUGGGGAGUGAACCGG